GUGCAGCAGUCGCGAAACCUCCGCAAUGCGGGAAACCGCGACGGGGUCAGCCGGAGUGCCGAUGCUUGCAUCGGCUGUCGGGGAGCCUAAAAAGCUCCCCAUAGCAAGGGCCGGGCAAGGCCGGUGGCAGCCGCCGCGGUAAUACCGGCGGCCCGAGUGGCGGUCACUAUUAUUGGGCUUAAAGCGUCCGUAGCCGGGUUGGGAAGUCCUCCGGGAAAUCUGGCCGCUUAACGGUCAGAAUGCCGGAGGAUACUCCCAGCCUAGGGAGCGGGAGAGGCCGAGGGUAUUCCCGGAGUAGGGGUGAAAUCCUAUAAUCCCGGGAGGACCACCUGUGGCGAAGGCGCUCGGCUGGAACGCGUCCGACGGUGAGGGACGAAGGCCAGGGGAGCAAACCGGAUUAGAUACCCUUGUAGUCC
rnacentral:rRNA from 1 species